rnacentral:rRNA from 1 species
GAUGAUCAGUCACACUGGAACAUGAGACACGGUCCAGACUCCUACGGGAGGCAGCAGUGGGGAAUAUUGGACAAUGGGCGAAAGCCUGAUUCCAGCCAUGCCGCGUGUGUGGAAAGAAGGUCUUCGGAUUGUAAAGCACUUUAAGUUGGGAGGAAGGGCAGUUACCUAAUACGUGAGUGUCUUGACGUUACCGACAGAAUAAGCACCGGCUAACUCUGUGCCAGCAGCCGCGGUAAUACAGAGGGUGCAAGCGUUAAUCGGAAUUACUGGGCGUAAAGCGCGCGUAGGUGGUUUGUUAAGUUGAAAUGUGAAAUCCCCCGGGCUCAACCUGGGAACUGCAUCCAAAACUGGCAAGCUAGAGUAUGGUAGAGGGUAGUGGAAUUUCCUGUGUAGCGGUGAAAUGCGUAGAUAUAGGAAGGAACA